rnacentral:rRNA from 1 species
GACGAACGCUGGCGGCGUGCCUAAUACAUGCAAGUCGAACGCUGAAGGAGGAGCUUGCUUCUCUGGAUGAGUUGCGAACGGGUGAGUAACGCGUAGGUAACCUGCCUGGUAGCGGGGGAUAACUAUUGGAAACGAUAGCUAAUACCGCAUAAGAGUAGAUGUUGCAUGACAUUUGCUUAAAAGGUGCAAUUGCAUCACUACCAGAUGGACCUGCGUUGUAUUAGCUAGUUGGUGGGGUAACGGCUCACCAAGGCGACGAUACAUAGCCGACCUGGGAGGGUGAUCGGCCAACCUGGGACUGAGACACGGCCCAGACUCCUACGGGAGGCAGCAGUAGGGAAUCUUCGGCAAUGGACGGAAGUCUGACCGAGCAACGCCGCGUGAGGGAAGAAGGGUUUCGGAUCGUAAAGCUCUGUUGUAAGAGAAGAACGAGUGUGAGAGUGGAAAGUUCACACUGUGACGGUAUCUUACCAGAAAGGGACGGCUAACUACGUG